rnacentral:rRNA from 1 species
ACGCUGGCGGCAUGCCUAACACAUGCAAGUCGAACGAGAUCUUCGGAUCUAGUGGCGCACGGGUGAGUAACGCGUGGGAACCUACCUUUUAGUACGGGACAACGUUUGGAAACGAACGCUAAUACCGUAUACGCCCUCCGGGGGAAAGGUCAGCCGCUAAAAGAGGGGCCCGCGUCUGAUUAGCUUGUUGGUAAGGUAAAGGCUUACCAAGGCUUCGAUCAGUAGCUGGUCUGAGAGGAUGAUCAGCCACACUGGGACUGAGACACGGCCCAGACUCCUACGGGAGGCAGCAGUGGGGAAUAUUGGACAAUGGAGGCAACUCUGAUCCAGCAAUGCCGCGUGUGUGAUGACGGCCCUAGGGUUGUAAAGCACUUUCAACGGUGAAGAUGAUGACGGUAGCCGUAGAAGAAGCCCCGGCUAACUUCGUGCCAGCAGCCGCGGUAAUACGAAGGGGGCGAGCGUUAUUCGGAAUUAUUGGGCGUAAAGGGCUCGCAGGCUGCUUGAACAGUUAGACGUGAAAUCCCCGGGCUCAACCUGGGAACUGCGUUUAAUACUAGCAAGCUAGAGAAAUAGAGAGGAAAGUGGAACUCCCAGUGUAGAGGUGAAAUUCGUAGAUAUUGGGAAGAACACCAGUGGCGAAAGCGGCUUUCUGGCUAUUUUCUGACGCUGAGGAGCGAAAGCGUGGGGAGCAAACAGGAUUAGAUACCCUGGUAGUCCACGCCGUAAACGAUGUGUGCUAGAUGUUGGAGGGUUACCUUUCAGUGUCGCAGCUAACGCACUAAGCACACCGCCUGGGAAGUACGGU